AGAUUGAACGCUGGCGGCAGGCCUAACACAUGCAAGUCGAGCGGCAGCACGGGUACUUGUACCUGGUGGCGAGCGGCGGACGGGUGAGUAAUGCCUAGGAAUCUGCCUGAUAGUGGGGGAUAACGCUCGGAAACGGACGCUAAUACCGCAUACGUCCUACGGGAGAAAGCAGGGGACCUUCGGGCCUUGCGCUAUCAGAUGAGCCUAGGUCGGAUUAGCUAGUUGGUGGGGUAAUGGCUCACCAAGGCGACGAUCCGUAACUGGUCUGAGAGGAUGAUCAGUCACACUGGAACUGAGACACGGUCCAGACUCCUACGGGAGGCAGCAGUGGGGAAUAUUGGACAAUGGGCGAAAGCCUGAUCCAGCCAUGCCGCGUGUGUGAAAGAAAGGUCUUCGGAUUGUAAAAGCAACUUUAAAGUUGGUAGGAAAGGGCGAGUUAACCUAAUAACGUAAUCUGUUUUGACGUUACCGUACCAGAAAUAAAGACAACCGGCGUAAACUCUGUG
rnacentral:rRNA from 1 species